rnacentral:rRNA from 1 species
AAUCAACGCUGGCGGCGUGCCUAACACAUGCAAGUCGAACGCGAAAAUUCCUUCGGGAAUGAGUAGAGUGGCGUCCGGGUGAGUAACGCGUGGGUAAUCUACCUUCGGGUGGGGAAUAACCCAGGGAACUUGGGCUAAUACCGCAUAAUGCAGCGGCUCGACAUCGAGAUAGUUGUUAAAGCAGCAAUGCGCCUGAAGAAGAGCCUGCGUCUGAUUAGCUUUGGGUAGGGUAACGGCCUACCAAGGCUGCGAUCAGUAGCUGGUC